UGUUUAAUUUGAAAAUUUACCUUCGGGGCGCCCUGGUAGCUCACCUGGUUGAGCGUGAGCCCCAUGUACUAAGGCUCAGUCCUAACCAUGGUGGC